CCUGGGUGACAGAGCAAGACUCCAUCUUGAAAAAAAAAGAAAACAGUUCUAAUGUCUGAUGAUCUAUCACUGUCUCUCAUUACCCCCAGGUGGGACCAUCUAGUUGCAGGAAAACAAGCUGAGGGCUCCCACUGAUUCUACAUUAUGGACUUCUCAGAGGCUUCAAUUUUCUAAAAUCAACUGUGACUGUUUGAAAAGGGGAUUCAGCAUUCAAAUUCCCCAACUUAUUAAACAACAACCGGCUUAACCAAAGUGGAUUCUCAACCAAAGUAUGUGAUCCUCUCAAGACAAAGACCUUUUACAAACAGGAUUUCAUCUGGCAAGAGGGGAGUGGAGAAGAGCUCCUUCAUCAAGUCUUCUCUCUGUGGGUGAACCCGUUGGCUCACAAUGAACAACUUAGGCACAUUACGGUAAACACCCAGGCCACAAAAAUGCGUUGAAACCACUGAAAAUGAAAUAAUCAGACCUACUUAAAUGUUUUUACCAUCUGGGCAAAUAACACCCCAAGGGCCAAGAUUUACCUAAGAAAGUGUCUAAGUAUGUUACCCAAGGCUGAGAGGCAACAGGUAGGUGGAUUUUGUGCCAAUUAGAAAGUGUUAUGAUUGGCAAACCACUGCAAAACUCUGAAAUUGCAGUGAAAUGGAAAUGCUGGCUGUCAUCCCCAAAGUACAUUUCAAGGAAUCACAAAACUUCAGAAUUAGAAGCAACUGAAUUAACGUUUUCACUCAUAUGAAAGUUGGAAGAUGAGGUGGUAACACGAGAGCUUUUGCAGGUGUCCCUGCUCUUAAUCUGUGCCCCUUCCACCUUGGUACCUUUCAUUCUUCAGGACCUGAUGGAGUGGUACAAAGCAGGGGUCACUUGACAAGCUCUCAGCCCAGCUCCUGGAUAGGGCAAAGCUGACAAGGAGCAGACACGGGGAGCCUGGAGAUCUCAGGGUCCAGGAAACAGCCGCCCCUUUGGAACUGCACAGCAGAGCAUAGCACUGGGAUCAGAGAGCAGACUCAUCCCCAAUCUUGUGCAAAAAAUAACAUUUGAUGAUUCCCAAGGUAGGUGAAGCAAGUAGCAUUUGGGGUUCCAGCAGCCCCUACAACUGUUUCCCAAAUGUUUGGAGUUUGACUUUGCAGUGUACACUUUGCCCUGGACUGUUUUUCUCUUAAUUUUUAGGCCCAAGUGUAUUUUAAGGUAAAUGGAUCCCACAUGCCUCUGAUGCAUUUACACUGAACUCAUCAGACCAUGUUUUGAAAGAGCAAUCUGAGGUCCAAGAAGCCCUUGGAGGCUGCUUUUAUGAGCCUCUCUGUGCUUCUUUUCUUAGAAGCAGGAAGCCACAUUUUGAUACGAACAAAUAAAACACAAACCUUAGAGACUCGGAUCUGGUUCCAAAUGUGGCACCUCUGAAACUGGUGGGUCCUCAAAUCAUCAAGACAGAAAGCUUCCCAGCCUUCUUUUUGAGAAGUUCAUGGAAACGUACCCGUGUUCUGUUGAGCCUAGAGGCAGUGGUUCAGAGGUGCUCGGUGCAAAGCUCACACAAAUCUUCAGCGUUUCUGUUUCCACACUUCUUCCCAGCACCUGAGUCUCCUGACACAGCCAGGACCCAGGCUCACUGCUGCCUUCUGGCCUUUGCUCUUCGGAGAGCUGAGCUGAGUGAGUCCCAAGGGAAUCACCCUCUGUUUUCUGAGCUUUGAAACCAGAGCAUCCUGAGCCAUUUGUUGCUGAUGUGAUUGCUAACACCACUUGACCCUGACUGAAGAACCACAACUAGGGAUGGUUUAGAUAUGCUUAGUUAGAGAAAAAAAUAACCACAGCCAACAGCAAAGUGAGGUGUGUGGUGUGGGUGUGAGAAAUGUUCUAGGGGUGAGGAGGGAGGACUUGCAGCUUCUUGGAUGCUACAGGGAGUGGAACAUGCUGUUUCCUUCCACUGAAGGCCUAAGAUACUACUAAGUGGAACAGGAGAGUUCCCUGGCCCCCUCACAGUAUGUGCAACAGGGGUGUGGCUCUCUGUUCAUCUGCCCCAAGCUAAAACCCCUUAUGGGAAGGGGAGCACGCAGACAGGCAGGUGCAGGAACCAGGGUGAGCACUUUUGGGCCCCAGUCCCAAGACAGCAUCUAGGGGUGGGCGUCUGUGACUUCCAAAGCCCAAGUAGGCACGUGUUACAGUGCAUUCUUUCAGCCUUGCCAUCUGUGGCAGCUUAAGCAUUAACCAGCUUAGUGGACCCUCUCCCUUUUCGCAAGGGCAGAGGGCCAGUAUGACAGCUUCCUAUAUCCCAAGCUCUUGUCCAGCAUCCUGGAAGAAUCAGGUCACACAUGAAUUUGCAGGAUGAAUGCAGGCGUUUUAUUGAGUGGUGGAGGUGGCUCUAAGUAGGAUGGAUGGGGAGCUGGACAGGGGAUAGAGUGGGAAGAUGAUCUUCCCCUGGAGUUUGGCCAUUCAGCGGCCAAUUUUCAGAUCAUCUCUAGCCGAAUUCCUCCCAAUGUUCCUUCUCUUCUCUUCUCUCCUUCUUUGCCGUGCUGUUCUGCCAUUCAUGUCUGCUCAUCUUCUUGUCUCCCCAUCUGCUUCUGGAGCCUGGAGCCUGGGGUUCAGGAUGUAUAUGGGUACAGGAUAGGGGAUGUGGCAGGCCAAAAGGCAACUUUUUAGGGAUGAAAACAGGAAUACCUGUCCUCAUUUAGGGCCCGGGUAUUUAGGCUUGAGGGUGGAGCCUUUGCCAGGGAACCACCCUCUUCUACCCAGUAUUUCUCUGUCUCCUGUCCAUAUCAUAAGGAUCUGUGGAAUGCCUACUAAGACUAGGGGUCCAGGGCACAACUCCUGGUAGGCACCGUGUGGGUCCUUAACGAAUAUCUCGCCAACAGGUAGGACGGGAGCACCCUCAGAUGGAUCGGUAGACUCCACCUUGGCUAUCAGGGAGUGCACUUUUUUCCUGAAGCCUUGGGAUGAUUCCUGGGGUGGGACAUAAAGACAGCCAUCCCAACCUGUCCUCCUGUGACUUGCAAUGUUGACUGUCGGUUGGCCCCUGCCCAGGGUUCUAAGAUUUGAAGGAUAUCCAGAGGCCCUGACCAGGAAAAGAAUAAUGAAUCCUACAAUGAGCAGAAAAGACAUUGAAGGUAAGGCAGCUAAGUCUCCAGCCCCAUCUGUCCACCUCUCUUUCUACGAUUUAUAACAAUACAUUCUCGACUCUG